rnacentral:lncRNA from 1 species
UUUUCCUGUCCAAAUAUUUGCACCAUUUCUUGUAGUUUUUGAAAAGCUUCUUCAUGGCUUCAUUCAAAGCAACCAAUUAUUGUUCUUUUGAGGACCAAAAUAACAUCAGGAAAGCAAAAGCUCUAAAAAGCCUUCAUUCAAAGCACGCUCAUCCAACUACACAAAACAAUAUAAUGAGCAAGAAAAAAAACAUUAUUGAUAGGCAACUAGGGAAAACUGUAAGAGUGGGAUUAAUCAAAUAUUAUCUGCAGUAACUUCUUGUAACUCUUGAAACCUCCUCCCAUGCACCAGUCAAAGCAGAUCAAUCAAUCAAACAAAUUCAAAACACAAAGUAUC